AAUAUGGUCGACUGCAAACAGUUGUGGCAGUCGGGGUGCACUUACUGUAAGAGUCCCCGAGAGUAAUUUUACUCAGGUCGGGUAGUAUUAGCCUCGUAGGCAUAGGUGGUAACAUGUAUCUCAAUAGGGCGGGCCUGCUUGAGUUGCAUGCCAGUGGGGUCACUCUCAGUGAACCCACUGGGUGUAGUCCCCGAGACCGCUGUCGACUGCUUGCGUCGGCAGGGGUCUGAAGAACUUAGACUUUUAUUGUUGAAUUGUCUGAUUGUCUCUUGGUGUUGGCUGGCAGAAAACUUGUGAAAUGGGGACAGCAUAUGAGACUCUGAGGGCGGAGAAGAUUCAGUUUGCUGGUGAGCGGGAUGCGACACUGUUUGCAAUGGCUGGUAUGAAGGAGGUUCUGGCGGAACGAGAGAAGUCGUUGGAGCAGGCUCAUGAAGCGAACAAAGUGCUGACUGAGGAAGUUGGGAAGAUGGGGAAACAAAGGACUGCUCUGAUGGGACAAAUGGAUGUGCUGAACAAACGGUGCAGAGCGCAGGAGAAAUACGUCAGUGACUGGGCUCGGCAGAUGAUGACGCGUCUGGCUGGUAAGUCCUGCUUUUUCCGAGUGCUUGUGGUAUGUGCGUCACACUCGGCGCUUAUUGUUUGCUUGUCCUAUUG
rnacentral:lncRNA from 1 species